CCAAACUGUAUUUCACACAGGACCCCUUGCAGUGCAUCACCUGUGAGAUCACAAGAAGGCUGAAGAACCAGGAGUGACAAGAUAUCACUGAAUGAAAUUUUGGGAAUGAAAAAGCUCCUGCCACAAGAUCUUCAGAGCCAGACAAGCAUUGGAGCAGGGUUUACGGGGGAGAACAGGCACCCUAGACCAUCACUGAUGCACAAAAGAUCCAACUGAUUGCUGCCAAUUUGGAGGAGGAUUCCUCG